rnacentral:rRNA from 1 species
AUUGAACGCUGGCGGCAGGCUUAACACAUGCAAGUCGAGCGGAGCGAGGGUGCUUGCACCUUAGCUUAGCGGCGGACGGGUGAGUAAUGCUUAGGAAUCUGCCUAUUAGUGGGGGACAACAUUCCGAAAGGAAUGCUAAUACCGCAUACGCCCUACGGGGGAAAGCAGGGGAUCUUCGGACCUUGCGCUAAGAGAUGAGCCUAAGUCGGAUUAGCUAGUUGGUGGGGUAAAGGCCUACCAAGGCGACGAUCUGUAGCGGGUCUGAGAGGAUGAUCCGCCACACUGGGACUGAGACACGGCCCAGACUCCUACGGGAGGCAGCAGUGGGGAAUAUUGGACAAUGGGCGGAAGCCUGAUCCAGCCAUGCCGCGUGUGUGAAGAAGGCCUUUUGGUUGUAAAGCACUUUAAGCGAGGAGGAGGCUACUUAGAUUAAUACUCUGGGAUAGUGGACGUUACUCGCAGAAUAGGCACCGGCUAACUCUGUGCCAGCAGCCGCAGUAA